rnacentral:rRNA from 1 species
UGGGGAAUUUUGGACAAUGGGCGAAACCCUGAUCCAGCCAUCCCGCGUGUGCGAUGAAGGCCUUCGGGUCGUAAAGCACUUUUUGCGGGAACGAAACGUCCUGUGCUAAUACACCGAGCAACUGCCGGCACCUGCAGAAUAAGCACCGGCUAACUACGGGCCAGCAGCCGCGGUAAUACGUAGGGUGCAAGCGUUAAUCGGAAUUACUGGGCGUAAAGCGUGCGCAGGCGGUUCGAUAAGAAAGAUGUGAAAUCCCAGAGCUUAACUGUGGAAUUGCAUUUUUAACUACCGGGCUAGAGGGUGGGAGAGGGAGGGGGAAUUCCGCGUGUAGCAGUGAAAUGCGUAGAUAUGCGGAGGAACACCGGUGGCGAAGGCAGCCUCCUGGGAUAACACUGACGCUCAUGCGCGAAAGCGUGGGGAGCGAACAGG